rnacentral:ncRNA from 12 species
GAUACAGCCCUGAUUAGUCGCCUUUAUGGUGGCGUCUCCGCAAGGAGUAGGGGCUGUAUUUUAU